GAAGGGCAGCGACGUGCCGGCAAGGCCGACAUAGUUGGCCAGGGUCGGGGCCGCAGGCCACAAUGUCGGCUCGAGGCGCGUCGCCUCGAGCUCCGUCUUCAGGGAGGUCGAAAGCAUCCAGUAGAGCGGUGCCAGGCUCCAGAAGAGCGCGAAACCGAUCGCGAUCCAGCGAAGGAUUGCGCUCAGGCUCCA
rnacentral:misc_RNA from 1 species